UACGUAGGUGGCAAGCGUUGUCCGGAUUUACUGGGCGUAGAGCGCGCAGGCGGUCGAUCAAGUCGCGUGUGAAAGCCCCCGGCUCAACUGGGGAGGGUCACGCGAUACUGAUCGACUCGAAGGCAGGAGAGGGUAGUGGAAUUCCCGGUGUAGUGGUGAAAUGCGUAGAUAUCGGGAGGAACACCAGUGGCGAAGGCGGCUCACUGGACCGGAACUGACGCUGAGGCGCGAAAGCGUGGGGAGCAAACAGG
rnacentral:rRNA from 1 species